GAGAGAGAGAGAGACCCACACACAAAGCAUAAAUCAUCACAGAUCCAAAGAUAAUAGAAAGUGGCAGUCCCUGCAGUCUGCUAAAUCAGGCUCCUGCUUCCUCAAUCCGUUUUGUAAUUGCGCAGAGUGCUGAUCGGGUUGUUUUGGGACGAAGAGAGGGAAAGAAGAGAGCUAAAUGAAAACAGGCACAAUUGGAAAGAGGCUGUGUGCACUACAGUCACAUCGGCCGAAACUAAAGAGUGAGUGAACUUUUCGCCGAGCAAGCUGGGGGUCUUGGCUCGUUUGCUGAUUCUUGGCUCGUUUGCGGCCAGAGGGAUUGCUUUGCUUUGUGCAAGGGUUGUUAGAUGAAGUUUGUGUGUCUAGCGGUGGAGGGAUGCAGACCCUAUGGAUUCAACAGAGGUGUCGUGGCAGGAUCUGCUGAAGCAUCACCAGCUGAAGCAUCACCCAGGUGGGUCAGCUACUUAUGCUGGAGAGGCUACUGUGGAGGAACCAAGAAACCUCGGACAAAGCGAUGGGCCCUGAUGAAGAUCUUCUGGCUUGUCUGACAGACUUUCUCCCUGGCUGUACCGUACCAUCGAUCCGCCCUCCUCUCAAACCAUACUGAAUUUUACAAACUGACUCAACUCCAUUCCUUUUCCAUCUUUAAGUUGUUGUUCAUUGAUGAAUAAUGUUUUUUUUUUAAGAGGACCACAAUGGAAUUAUGUUUUUAAACAUCUUUGUGUUUUCCUUAAAUAGAAAUGCAUUGAAUCUACAUGUUUAAAAAAAUAAAUCAGGAAAUUGGAGUGGUA